rnacentral:lncRNA from 1 species
AAGCAGAAAAAAGGUUCUAGAGAUAAGACAAAUGAGCCCAACUCCAGGUUGCUGAAGGGAAAAAAAAUCUGGAAAGAAGCUGGCAUCAGAGGAGCUGAUCAUUUCCAUCAUGUUCUUGUCCCCAGCUUACUGCAAUAGAGACUUCAGAAAACUUCCCUUUGGGUAAGAUUCUCUCUUAUGCUGAGCUGAGUUAUGUCACUCCCAAUAAGAGAGCUUCUUUACUCUAUUGUCUGGUAUAUAUUUGUCUGUUCAUACUUUAUCUGAUUUCUGUUUGUCAAUUGAUUGAAUAAAUGACUUUUUUUGUGAAUGCAUUAUAUGUGUUCAUUUUGGAACUGAUAGUUGGUAGGAAAAAAUUAGGUUUUUGCUAUAAGGCUUGAUAUCUUCUCCCUUCCCCCAAUAAAGAAACUCAUCAGAAUUUAGCUUGAACCUGAAAAUCACAGCUGAAAAGAAAAUUUGAUGAGCAAAUGUUAUUCUCAAGAAACAUAGAAAGGUAAAAUCAAAACUUAAGGGUUUUGAUAAGAUUGAAUUGAGUACUUUCAUACUUGAGAAGGUGAUAAUUGAAAUAAUUAAGGUAUCUAUGAUACUUAAGAAAGGUAAGGUUCUUAAGGUAUGGAAGAUACCUAAACAAGACCUUUAUCAUUGUCAGAGCAAUGAGAAGAAGUAUACAUAGAAGAAAAGAAGCUAAAUAUGAUAGGUUGAUAUCCAAAAAAAGGGGAUGGGAAAGAGGAUCACAUGGGGGAAAGAGAAAAAGAGAGACAGAAGGGGUAAACUAUAUCUCAUUAAGAGAUACAUAAGUGAAAAAUAUUUAUAGCUGUGUUCCUUGUGGUGGCAAAAAAUUGGAAAAUGGGGGAGGGGUGAAAGGAACAGAAUCAGGAGAACAUUGUACACAGAGACCAAUACACUGUGGCACAAUCAAAUGUAAUGGACUUCUCUAUUAGCAGCAAAGCAAUGACCCAGGACAAUCCAGAGGAACUUAGGAGAAAGAACGCUAUCCACAUCCACAGAAAGAACUGUGGGAGUAGAAAUGCAGAAGAUGUAGUAUACCAGGUGAAAGAGAUGGAAGAUAAUUCUGAAGAUCAUGAGAGUAAGCCAUCAGACAUUCGGGAGCUAGAAUUCAUGCCAAGAUUUGUCAGAAACCAGAUAAUGAGGAAAGAAACCUCAGGCAAUCUGUUUGACCCAGAAAUACAGAUGAAUCCAUUCAUUAGCCAUGCCAUAGAUGGAAGUGAACUUGUUGGGACAAGUGCUCAGUAGAAAAUGUGGAAACUCAGAACCCAUUCUUCAUAGGGUCUGAGGUGGUAUAGGAAAGAAUGUGCCCCCA